GACGGAGGAGGCAAGCGUUAUCCGGAAUUAUUGGGCGUAAAGCGUCCGCAGGUGGCGAUUCAAGUCUGCUGUCAAAGGUCGGGGCUUAACCCCGGGAAGGCAGUGGAAACUGAAUAGCUAGAGUGCGGUAGGGGCAGAGGGAAUUCCCGGUGUAGCGGUGAAAUGCGUAGAGAUCGGGAAGAACACCAGUGGCGAACGCGCUCUGCUGGGCCUGCACAGACACUGAGGGACGACAGCUAGGGUAGCUAAAGGG
rnacentral:rRNA from 1 species